rnacentral:rRNA from 1 species
GAUGAACGCUGGCGGCGUGCCUAAUACAUGCAAGUCGAGCGAAUGGAUUAAGAGCUUGCUCUUAUGAAGUUAGCGGCGGACGGGUGAGUAACACGUGGGUAACCUGCCCAUAAGACUGGGAUAACUCCGGGAAACCGGGGCUAAUACCGGAUAACAUUUUGAACCGCAUGGUUCGAAAUUGAAAGGCGGCUGCGGCUGUCAAUUAUGGAUGGACCCGCGUCGCAUUAGCUAGUUGGUGAGGUAACGGCUCACCAAGGCAACGAUGCGCAGCCGACCUGAGAGGGUGAUCGGCCACACUGGGACUGAGACACGGCCCAGACUCCUACGGGAGGCAGCAGUAGGGAAUCUUCCGCAAUGGACGAAAGUCUGACGGAGCAACGCCGCGUGAGUGAUGAAGGCUUUCGGGUCGUAAAACUCUGUUGUUAGGGAAGAACAAGUGCUAGUUGAAUAAGCUGGCACCUUGACGGUACCUAACCAGAAAGCCACGGCUAACUACGUGCCAGCCGCCGCAGUAA